UUUGCUCCGAUGGGAUAUGGGUAUAAAUGUCCCUCCGAUCUGAGACCGCCACAGUGACUUGCAAGCAACUCACUGCACUUAGGCACUGGACUACCUGAAUUUCUAAUUCAGUGACGGAAGGCUGCUGGGUGUAGUCAAGUACUUGACUUGUCGGUGCGUGUGUCAAGAUGGGAUUGACCACUCCAGUUCAGGAGUUGUGUACAGUCGUAUUUUAAUUUAGCAAAACCUUAGCCAGGGUAGUCCUAGUGAGGAGUCACAGGACUAUUUGAGUUGAGCACGAUUCGGAUGAUCUAAUCAGGGUUGACAGUUUAACCCUGAGUCAUCCUAAACACAGGGGUCAAAA
rnacentral:lncRNA from 1 species